UCCGUAGGUGAACCUGCGGAAGGAUCAUUAUUGAAUAAACUUGAACAGGUUGUUGCUGACCCCUGAGAGGGGGGUAUGUGCACGCUUGUCAUCUUUACUUCUCCAACUGUGCACAUAUUGUAGACCUUUAAGAAGUUUUGGGACUGCUAGUCCAGCUAGCUUUUGCCCUUUGCAUAUUUUCUGGGUCUAUGUCAUUUUAUACAAACCUAUGAAUCUGUUUAGAAUGUUGAAAUCAGGUCCUUUUUUGUACCUAUAAAGUUUGUAAUACAACUUUCAGCAACGGAUCUCUUGGCUCUCGCAUCGAUGAAGAACGCAGCGAAAUGCGAUAAGUAAUGUGAAUUGCAGAAUUCAGUGAAUCAUCGAAUCUUUGAACGCAUCUUGCGCUCCUUGGUAUUCCGAGGAGCAUGCCUGUUUGAGUGUCAUUCAAGUUCUUCAACCACAUUGAUUAUUAUUUUCAAUUUGGCUUGGAUUGGUGGGGGAUGUGGGCUUUUGAAAAUGAAGUCGGCUCUCCUGAAAUGCAUUAGUAGUAUCUGAGCACUACUACACAGGUGUGAUAAUUUAUCUAUGCCUUGGUGUGUAGCCUGCAUGAAAUCAGAUUGUGCUGCUUCUAAUAUUGUGUUGCUUUUAAUGAAUUUGACCUCAAAUCAGGUAGGACUACCCGCUGAACUUAAGCAUAUCAAUAAGCGGAGGA
rnacentral:rRNA from 1 species